rnacentral:rRNA from 1 species
CCUACGGGGGGCUGCAGUGGGGAAUAUUGGACAAUGGGCGAAAGCCUGAUCCAGCCAUGCCGCGUGUGUGAAGAAGGCCUUCGGGUUGUAAAGCACUUUCAGUGGGGAAGAAAGCCUUGGGGCUAAUACCCUCGAGGAAGGACAUCACCCACAGAAGAAGCACCGGCUAACUCCGUGCCAGCAGCCGCGGUAAUACGGAGGGUGCGAGCGUUAAUCGGAAUUACUGGGCGUAAAGCGCGCGUAGGCGGUCUGAUAAGCCGGUUGUGAAAGCCCCGGGCUCAACAUGGGAACGGCAUCCGGAACUGUCAGGCUAGAGUGCAGGAGAGGAAGGUAGAAUUCCCGGUGUAGCGGUGAAAUGCGUAGAGAUCGGGAGGAAUACCAGUGGCGAAGGCGGCCUUCUGGACUGACACUGACGCUGAGGUGCGAAAGCGUGGGUAGCAAACAGGAUUAGAUACCCCUGUAGUC